UCCAAACCUGCGUGAACAGAAUGCUAAAGGAUAGGAAGUGUGAGAAGAAUGCUUUGAAAGAAACUUUAAAAACAAAACGACCGACUAUUCAGAGAAUACCAGGUCUUAUGUGGAAUCAUCUAGCACGUGCAAAGUUCCCCAUCAAGUGGACGGCCCCCGAGGCAGCCCUGUACGGGAGGUUCACAAUCAAGUCUGACGUGUGGUCUUUUGGAAUCUUACUCACAGAGCUGGUCACCAAAGGAAGAGUGCCAUACCCAGGCAUGAACAACCGGGAGGUGCUGGAGCAGGUCGAGCGAGGCUACAGGAUGCCCUGCCCGCAGGACUGCCCCAUCUCUCUGCAUGAGCUCAUGAUCCACUGCUGGAAAAAGGACCCUGAAGAACGCCCCACUUUUGAGUACUUGCAGAGCUUCCUGGAAGACUACUUUACCGCGACAGAGCCCCAGUACCAACCUGGUGAAAACCUGUAAGGCCCGGGUCUGCGGAGAGAGGCCUUGUCCCAGAGGCUGCCCCACCCCUCCCCAUUAGCUUUCAAUUCCGUAGCCAGCUGCUCCCCAGCAGCGGAACCGCCCAGGAUCAGAUUGCAUGUGACUCUGAAGCUGACGAACUUCCAUGGCCCUCAUUAAUGACACUUGUCCCCAAAUCCGAACCU
rnacentral:sRNA from 1 species